rnacentral:rRNA from 1 species
GACGAACGCUGGCGGCGUGCCUAAUACAUGCAAGUCGAACGCUUCUUUUUCACCGAACUUCGGUUCAUCGAAAAAGAGGAGUGGCGAACGGGUGAGUAACACGUGGGUAACCUGCCCAUCAGAAGGGGAUAACACUUGGAAACAGGUGCUAAUACCGUAUAAUGCUUUUUCUCGCAUGAGAGCAAGCUGAAAGGCGCUUUUGCGUCACUGAUGGAUGGACCCGCGGUGCAUUAGCUAGUUGGUGAGGUAACGGCUCACCAAGGCCACGAUGCAUAGCCGACCUGAGAGGGUGAUCGGCCACACUGGGACUGAGACACGGCCCAGACUCCUACGGGAGGCAGCAGUAGGGAAUCUUCGGCAAUGGACGAAAGUCUGACCGAGCAACGCCGCGUGAGUGAAGAAGGUUUUCGGAUCGUAAAACUCUGUUGUUAGAGAAAGAAACAAA